UGACAGGUGUUUUUAAACACCACUCAUUGUUCCCUAGAUAUGUAUU
rfam:Charadrius vociferus contig51271, whole genome shotgun sequence.